rnacentral:rRNA from 1 species
CUAAACUGAGGAAAGUCGGCCGAAACUGAUCGACUCGAGGAACGUAGAGGGAAGCGGAACUCUCGGAGUAGCGGUGAAAUGCGUAGAGACCGAGAGGUACCCCGAUGGUGAAGACAGCUUCCUGGGCGUUUCCUGACGCUGAAGCGCUAAGGCCAGGGGAGCGAAGGGGAUUAGAUACCCCCGUAGUCCUGGCUUCAAACGAUGUGGGCUUGGUGUCGGCUCCCGACAGAGAGUCGUUGCCGGAGCUAACGUGUUAAGCCCACCGCCUGGGGAUUACGUCCGCAGGGAUGAAACUCAAGGGAAUUGACGGGGGCCCACACAACCGGUGGAGCACGUGGUUUAAUUCGAUGAUAAGCGAAGAACCUUACCAGGGCUUGACCUAGCGGUGGUAGGAUCCUGAAAGGGAAACGACCUCAAGCUUUGCUUGAGGAGCC